UAUGACCCCACAGAUCGCAAGCAGGCAUGGGAGAAGCUUUUGCACAGCGACAAGAUUCCCUUAGGGGUUAUUUUCGAAGGCCAGCGCCCGACCUAUGAAGAUCUGCGACCCACGAGCUCCCGUCAGCCCAUUGCUCUGCAAUCAAUAACCGGGGUCGAUUACUCAGAGGUCAUGGAAGAGUUCUUCUAACUAUGGGUCGCGCAUGGAAUCCCCGAGAGCAUGCCGGUCGAUCCUGGCGCCCUGAGGAUUUCAGACGAGGGAGGAUGAGGCAGUGAUUGUCAACCAACUGAAACUGUUAGCCGGAGGCGAAGCAGGAGACGGCGUAUUUGCCGUCUCUGAUAUGUUGGCGCUACUGUUUGCCAGGGCAGGGCUGGAGGUGCUGACCACACAGACCUAUUCA
rnacentral:misc_RNA from 1 species